AGUGUUAUGUUAUGGCUUCUGCAAGCAUUGAUUAAACUCCCCAGUGUUCAUGAAGGCUGACAGGGAUUCAAAGGAGGAAAUGUAAAACUUGAAGUUCCUGAACCAUCAUCCUACUACAGCUACACUAGAAGACUGCAAAUAAUAUGCAUGCAACAACCCUUUUCUGCAUUAAGGUGUGAGGAUGGACAGUGGAGAAUAUUAUAGGAAAGGGUCUUUCUCUUGUCUAAGUGUCAUAAUGCUCUCCCUAGAUCCCUGGAAAAACAAGCAGUGUCAGUGAAUGCCCGAGGUUUUCAUGAAGAUCAGAAGCAGGACAGGAUCUGACCCAGUGUGGCC